rnacentral:rRNA from 1 species
CUUCCUUCGGUGAGGAGCGGCGGACGGGUUAUAGCGCGUGGGAAUAUACCCUUUUCUAUGGAAUACCCUCAGGAAACUGAGAGUAAUACCAUAUACGCCCUUCGGGGGAAAGAUUUAUCGGUGAAGGAUUAGCCCGCGUUUGAUUAGAUAGUUGGUGGGGUAAUGGCCUACCAAAUCUACGAUCAGUAGCUGGUUUGAGAGGAUGAUAAGCAACUCUGGGACUGAUACACGGCCCAGACUCCUACGGGAGGCACCGAUGGGGAAUCUUAAACCAUGGGCGCAAGCCUGAUCUAGCCAUGCCGCGUGAGUGACCAAGGCCUUACGGUCGUAAAGCUCUUUCGCCAGAGAUGAUAAUGACAGUAUCUGGUAAAGAAACCCCGGCUAACUCCGUGCCAGCAUCCGCGAUAAUACGGAGGGGGUUACCGUUGUUCGGAAUUACUGGGCGUAAAGCGUACGUAGGCGGAUUGGAAAGUAGGGGGUGAAAUCCCGGGGCUCAACCCCGGAACUGCCUCCUAAACUAUCANUCUAGAGUUCUAGAGAGGUGAGUGGAAUUCCAAGUGUACAGGUGAAAUUCCUAUAUAUUUGGAGGAACACCAGUGGCGAAGGCGGCUCACUGGCUCGAUACUGACGCUGAGGUACCAAAGUGUGG